CAUUACACACUGGUGUGAAACCCCCACCUCUCAUGGGGGCCUCACAGACCUGCACCAGACGCUUCAUCUUCAAAAACCGUAACACUAGACAGUUCACCUCCAUGCUUCUCUCUGCAACUACCUCUAAAACACGUCCCACUCUUUGCAAAACCCAACAAUUUCUUGACUCCAUCAACGCUCUCUGUGACCAAGGCCAUAACACUUCUGCAAGAAACAGAUCAUCAGGCCAUUAAAAAGAGGUAUCCAGCUUACUGUUGCCUUCUUCAAGCUUGUUCUGAAUCAAUGGCGGCCACCCUAGCCCAAAAGGUCGAAACCCACAUGGCUAAAACCAGUUUUCCCCAUUGCCUCUUCUUAAACAAUAGAGUCAUCAAUAUCUAUUGUAAAUCUGGUUAUAUUAUAGAAGCUCGUAAAGUGUUCGAUGAAAUGUCUGAGAAAAACCUCUUCUCGUAUAAUACAAUGAUUCACGGAUAUUGUUGUUUUGGCCUGUUGGAUGAUGCACGCCAAGUUUUUGUUCAAAUGCAUAAGAAAAAUCAGGUUUCAUGGGCUAUCAUGAUUGGUGGGUAUGUGCGCCAUGAAUAUGCAUUUGAACCUCUUGAAAUGUUUGUUGAUAUGAAUCGAAGUGGACUUAAGCCUCAUACAAUUAUUUUAGUUGCAGUCCUUCGUGCUUCAGUCGUGGCUGGGAGCUUAAACCAUGGGUUCCAGAUUCAUGCUGUAGUGUUAAAGAUUGGUGUUUUUAUGGAAGAAAUAGUGAGGAAUACCUUGUUGGACGUAUACUCAAAGCUUGGAGAAAUGGAAGAAGCUUGGCAUUGCUUCGAAGAGAUGGGGAAGUUGGGUGUUGAUGUCUCUUUUAAUUCUUUGAUUGCAGGUUAUGCAAGGCUUGGAAAGGGGGAAUUAUCUCUGGUUUUAUAUGUUCAGUUUCUUAGAACUGGUCUGAGAAUCUCUCAAUUUACAUUUGCCGGAGUUCUUAGUGCUUGUGCUGGAAUUUCAGGCCUUGUUGAAGGCAAGCAAAUUCAUGCUCUGGUCUUCAAGACUGGUUUCGAGGGCCAUUUUGUGGCCAAUGCAGUUAUGAACAUGUAUGCAAAAUCAGGGGAGCUUGAAAGUUCUUGGAGAGUGUUUGUGGGCAUGCAUCACAGGGAUAACAUUUCAUGGAAUGGCUUGAUCAGUGGGUAUAGUAGAGAGGGCUUAUCAGAGGAAGCUAUGAAUUUGUUCAUAGAGAUGUUGAAACAUGGAGUUGCUCCCACCCACUUCACCUUUUCGAGCAUUUUGAGCUUGUGUGCUAGUUUUGGUAGCUUGUUACUCGGUCUGCAGGUUCACUGCAAAACCAUCCAUUGUGGGCUCGAAUCCGAUGUAUUUGUAUCUAAUGCUAUCAUUGAUAUGUAUGCAAAAUGUGGGUCAUUAGAGUCAGCAAUGUUUGUUUUCAAUGAGAGGUCUAACCUCAACACCAUCUCAUGGACGGCCUUGAUUGCUGGUUAUGCACACAAUGGGUACAAUGAAGAAGCCAUUAAACUCUUCACCCUUAUGCUCAAAUCAGAUUUUAAACCAGACAAUGGCACCUUCGCUAGUGUGCUCAGUUCCUGUGCGGGCCUAACUGCUCUUAAUUAUGGCAAACAGGUGCAAGUCCAUGCAAUAAAACUUGGUUUUGAUUCAAAUAUAUACACCGCAAAUUCUCUAGUUGGUAUGUAUGCUAAAUGUGGCGACAUGAAAGAGGCAUCGAAGCUCUUUAGUGCAAUGCCCAUUCGAAAUUUGGUGACACGGAAUGCCAUUACAGCUGGCCACGCACAUAAUGGAGAGGGUGAGGAAGUGCUUGAACUAUUCAGAACAAUGGUAGAACAGGAUGGCAUUGCCCCUGACCAUGUCACAUAUGUGAAUGUGCUCCAUGCAUGUAGCCAUGCAGGGAUGGUAGAGGAAGGGUAUUGGCACUUCAGGUCCAUGAGUGAAGAUUUUGGAAUUACCCCUUACCCUGACCAUUAUGCAUGCAUGGUUGAUCUACUAGGACGCUGUGGCCGGCUCGAUGAGGCCGAGGAGUUUGUGGAGUCCAUGCCUAUUGAGCCUGAUGGGGUAAUAUGGGGGGCCUUGUUGGGCGCCUGCCGAACCCAUAGGCAUGUUGAGCUAGCUGAACGAGCAGCGGAAAAGCUCUUUGCCAUUGAGCCAAUGAACCCUGUUGGCUAUGAUCUAUUGGCUAAUAUAUAUUCAGCUUGUGGCCUAUGGGAGGGGGUUGCAAGAGUGAGUAAGAUGAUGCACGAGAGGGGAGUGAAAAAGGGGACAGCUUGCUCUUGGGUCGAAGCCCAAAUGGGGGUUCAUGUUUUUGUGUCCAAUGAUCGGGUCCACCCAAGACUAAGAGAGAUUCACGAGCAGCUUGAGGAGUUGGGAGAGGAAAUGAGGAGAUUUGGGCAUGUUCCUGAUAAGAGCUUUGUGUUGCAGCAAUUGGAAGAAGAGCAAAAGGUGCCAGCUUUGAGCUAUCAUAGUGAAAAGUUGCCAGUGGCGUUUGGGCUUAUUAGUAUUGAUGCUCCAGCACCCACUAGGGUUAUGCAGAAUCUGAGGGUCUGUGGGGAUUGUCACAGUGCUAUGAAGCUUAUAUCAUGGAUUGAAGGGAGAGAUAAUCCUCGGGAACUCCACCCGAUUCCACCAUUUCAAUGAUGGAAUAUGUUCUUGUGGGGACUAUUGGUGAAUGUGAAGAAAGUAUGUCCAUCCUCCCAAAUUAUGACUAAAGGGAAAUAACCCAAUGGAAUAUAGGAAAACCACAGUUCAAUAGGGUUAUCCCUCAUCCCUUUGCAAUAGAAUGCUAGACAGUGAUGGAGAGAGUGUAGGACACACCAUUGUGGUUAUGUCCUUUUUGUUGUGCCCAACUCUCUCCAUCACCCUCCAUAUCACUGGAUGGUGGGGAUCCCAAUGCACUAUGGUUGUCCCACAGUCUACAGAGAUUUUAGUGUGCUUCCAUAAACUAGAUAUGUGUGAUUUCUAGUGACAAUUCUUUUCUGAUUGAAAUGCAAGAUUUUUAGGACAUUUAUAGGCCAGAUUCUGAUGUUAAUAGGCCUGCCAAGUGAAAGACUCAAAUU